rnacentral:rRNA from 1 species
GUCGAGGGGUAACKGCAGUARCUUGCUAYUAGACGACGACCGGCGCACGGGUGARUAACGCGUAUGUAAUCUGCCUUGUACAGAGGGAUAGCCCAGAGAAAUUUGGAUUAAUACCUCAUAGUAUUACCGAAUCGCAUGAUUUGGUAAUUAAAGCUCCGGCGGUACAAGAUGAACAUGCGUGACAUUAGCUAGUUGGUAAGGUAACGGCUUACCAAGGCCACGAUGUCUAGGGGUUCUGAGAGGAUGAUCCCCCACACUGGUACUGAGACACGGACCAGACUCCUACGGGAGGCAGCAGUGAGGAAUAUUGGUCAAUGGACGCAAGUCUGAACCAGCCAUCCCGCGUGAAGGAUGACUGCCCUAUGGGUUGUAACUUCUUUUAUAUGCAAAUAACCUCUUUCGUGAAAGUAGCUGAAGGUACAUAUGAAUAACACCGGCUACUCGUGCCAGCAGCCGCGGUAUACGAAGGUGUAGCGUAUCCGGAUUAUUGGGUUAAGGUC